rnacentral:rRNA from 1 species
ACGAAGUCUUCGGACUGAGUGGCGGACGGGUGAGUAACGCGUGAGAAUCUGCCUAGAGGUCGGGGACAACCAUUGGAAACGAUGGCUAAUACCGGAUAUGCCUUGCGGGGUGAAAGAUUAAUUGCCUUUAGAAGAGCUCGCGUCUGAUUAGCUAGUUGGUGAGGUAAGAGCUCACCAAGGCAGCGAUCAGUAGCUGGUCUGAGAGGAUGACCAGCCACACUGGGACUGAGACACGGCCCAGACUCCUACGGGAGGCGGCAGUGGGGAAUUUUCCGCAAUGGGCGAAAGCCUGACGGAGCAAGACCGCGUGAGGGAGGAAGGCUCUUGGGUUGUAAACCUCUUUUGUCAGGGAAGAACAAAAUGACGGUACCUGACGAAUCAGCAUCGGCUAACUCCGUGCCAGCAGCCGCGGUAAUACGGAGGAUGCAAGCGUUAUCCGGAAUUAUUGGGCGUAAAGCGUCCGCAGGUGGCUGAUCAAGUCUGCGGUCAAAGACCGGGGCUUAACCCUGGAAAGGCCGUGGAAACUGAUAGAGCUAGAGUACCGUAGGGGUAGAGGGAAUUCCCGGUGUAGCGGUGA